rnacentral:rRNA from 1 species
CCUACGGGUGGCAGCAGUGAGGAAUAUUGGUCAAUGGGCGGGAGCCUGAACCAGCCAAGCCGCGUGAGGGAAGAAGGUACAGCGUAUCGUAAACCUCUUUUGCCGGGGAGCCAAGUGCCGCACGUGUGCGGUUUGGAGAGUACCCGGAGAAAAAGCAUCGGCUAACUCCGUGCCAGCAGCCGCGGUAAUACGGAGGAUGCGAGCGUUAUCCGGAUUUAUUGGGUUGAAAGGGAGCGUAGGCCGCAUGUCAAGCGUGCUGUGAAAUGUCCGGGCUCAACCCGGGCCUUGCAGCGCGAACUGGCGUGCUUGAGUCCGCGGAAAGCAGGCGGAAUUCGUCGUGUAGCGGUGAAAUGCUUAGAUAUGACGAAGAACCCCGAUUGCGAAGGCAGCUUGCUGCAGCGGAACUGACGCUGAUGCUCGAAAGCGCGGGUAUCGAACAGGAUUAGAUACCCUGGUAGUC